AGUGAACGCUGGCGGUAGGCCUAACACAUGCAAGUCGAACGGCAGCACAGUAAGAGCUUGCUCUUACGGGUGGCGAGUGGCGGACGGGUGAGGAAUACAUCGGAAUCUACUUUUUCGUGGGGGAUAACGUAGGGAAACUUACGCUAAUACCGCAUACGACCUACGGGUGAAAGCAGGGGAUCUUCGGACCUUGCGCGAUUGAAUGAGCCGAUGUCGGAUUAGCUAGUUGGCGGGGUAAAGGCCCACCAAGGCGACGAUCUGUAGCUGGUCUGAGAGGAUGAUCAGCCACACUGGAACUGAGACACGGUCCAGACUCCUACGGGAGGCAGCAGUGGGGAAUAUUGGACAAUGGGCGCAAGCCUGAUCCAGCCAUACCGCGUGGGUGAAGAAGGCCUUCGGGUUGUAAAGCCCUUUUGUUGGGAAAGAAAAGCAGCAGGUUAAUACCCCGCUGUUCUGACGGUACCCAAAGAAUAAGCACCGGCUAACUGCGU
rnacentral:rRNA from 1 species